ACAGCCAUUGGCAACUGGGUUGUUAACUGCGCGUCGUCCGAUUUCACGGGGGCAACCCUGGUGGCGAGUGGCGAACGGGUGAGUAAUGCAUCGGAACGUGCCCAGUAGUGGGGGAUAGCCCGGCGAAAGCCGGAUUAAUACCGCAUACGACCUGAGGGUGAAAGCGGGGGACCGCAAGGCCUCGCGCUAUUGGAGCGGCCGAUGUCAGAUUAGCUAGUUGGUGGGGUAAAGGCUCACCAAGGCGACGAUCUGUAGCUGGUCUGAGAGGACGACCAGCCACACUGGGACUGAGACACGGCCCAGACUCCUACGGGAGGCAGCAGUGGGGAAUUUUGGACAAUGGGCGCAAGCCUGAUCCAGCCAUGCCGCGUGCGGGAAAGAAGGCCUUCGGGUUGUAAACCCGCUUUUGUCAGGGAAGAAAAGCUCUGGGCUAAUACCCCGGAGUGAUGACGGGUACCUGAAGAAUAAGCACCGGCUAACUACGUGCCAGCAGCCGCGGUAAUACGUAGGGUGCAAGCGUUAAUCGGAAUUACUGGGGCGUAAAAGCGUGCGCGGGCGGUUGUGCAAGACAGAUGUGAAAUCCCCGGGCUUAACCUGGGAACUGCAUUUUGUGACUGCACGUCUGGAGUGCGGCAGAGGGGGGAUGAAAUUCCGCGUGUAGCAGUGAAAUGCGUAGAUAUGCGGGAGGAACACCGAUGGCGAAGGGCAAUCCCCUGGGCCUGCACUGACGCUCAUGCACGAAAGCGUGGGGGAGCCAAACAGGAUUAGAUACCCCUGG
rnacentral:rRNA from 1 species